AGACCAUGAUGUGGACAGUCUCUCAGCAUUCCCUUAAAUCUAUCCCAUGGUUCAUAAAGAGAUUCAACAUUUGUUUGCUUAACGCUUGCAAUAAGGUUGCGGAGGUGU